AUUCCAUUAUGAGGGCAUCUUUGUAACAACUCUUUCAACCGUUCCCAUACUUUGAACGUAGUUUCUCCUUCUCAUUGGCUGAAAUUGCGAAUCUUCUUCCUCAUUUU
rnacentral:snoRNA from 1 species